rnacentral:piRNA from 1 species
UGGAAGUGGUCGUAAACUGACUGGUGUCU